CCUACGGGAGGCAGCAGUGGGGAAUAUUGCACAAUGGGGGAAACCCUGAUGCAGCCAUGCCGCGUGUGUGAAGAAGGCCUUCGGGUUGUAAAGCACUUUCAGUUGUGAGGAAAAGUUAGUAGUUAAUACCUGCUAGCCGUGACGUUAACAACAGAAGAAGCACCGGCUAACUCCGUGCCAGCAGCCGCGGUAAUACGGAGGGUGCGAGCGUUAAUCGGAAUUACUGGGCGUAAAGCGCACGCAGGCGGUUUGUUAAGCUAGAUGUGAAAGCCCCGGGCUCAACCUGGGAUGGUCAUUUAGAACUGGCAGACUAGAGUCUUGGAGAGGGGAGUGGAAUUCCAGGUGUAGCGGUGAAAUGCGUAGAUAUCUGGAGGAACAUCAGUGGCGAAGGCGACUCCCUGGCCAAAGACUGACGCUCAUGUGCGAAAGUGUGGGUAGCGAACAGGAUUAGAUACCCUGGUAGUCCACACCGUAAACGCUGUCUACUAGCUGUGUGUGUCUUUAAGACGUGCGUAGCGAAGCUAACGCGCUAAGUAGACCGCCUGGGGAGUACGGNCGCAAGGUUAAAACUCAAAUGAAUUGACGG
rnacentral:rRNA from 1 species